rnacentral:lncRNA from 1 species
GGGCAGUAAGAUGAGCAGCAGGUAAGGCGAGAUUGUUGUGCUUAAAGAUAUCAGCGAUGGAGCGUGCACAUUGCUCUGUGUUGUCGUCGCAAACGGCCACAAGAUUGUACAAAGACGAGUUGAUGACCGGUAAAGUCAAUGUGAUUCUCCUUGGUGGCGGUUUUGGGGAGUCGGUAAUGUGAGUGACCCAUUUGUCCGUCACAUUGAUCUGAGGACGUUCCGGGAAGAGAGACGCCAUGUGGCCAUCAGGACCCAUCCCUUGGAGCUGGAGAUCGAACUGAGGAAAUUGGCCAUUUGGACAUAGUGGGAGUAUCUUUUCCUUCACCAGGUUCCUCAAGCACUCCUCGUAGAGCGUCGCACAACGCUCCGCGUCACCAUCAGCGGCACAUUGUUUGUCGAUUGCGUAGAUGUUCUCCUUCGGAAUCCCAACCUAAAUACACGUGGUUAAAUUUUAACCAAACAAAAAUAUUUGAGGUUUUUUUGCACGGCUAUCAAUGGAUAUGAAUAAUGAAACCACUUGUUACGUGAUAAAUGAUAACUAAUCGAAAAUAUAAUAAUAACGAUGAUAAAACCUUGGAGAUAAAACCAUCCAUGGCGAGUUUGUAGUUGCUGUUUUGAUCUUCAUGUGAACAGACCCUCUCGUCCACCCAAAAGACGUGCCACUUUGACCAUUCGACUGAUUCUUUGUAUGGUGAUUCCAACAACUUGCUGCAACAAUUUAUUAGUUAAAGCAUCAUAUAUCACUAGAUUUGUCUUUAAGAAAAAAAAAAGAAAAGAAUAAGAGAGUGAAAUGGGGAAGAUAUUAAAUAUGUAUACCCGAGCCAAUCGAUGAGGCCACAGCCGGAGAGAACAACGGUGAAAAUUCCUUUCUCCUUGCAGAACUUGGCCGAGAGAUGAGCAGUGUACUUAGCCAAUGCUACCGACAAUUCAUUCUUGGUCGCAAACACCUCCCUCUUCCUCUGCGUAGUUUCUGCCAUCGUUGCCUAUAUUAAGAAUGUGUUUGUAAGUUGUUAAAAGAAGAAAUGUGUUUGUAAGUUGUUAAAACAAAAAAUGUGUUUGUAUAUAUUGUUAAGGAUUGGGGGUUUCUUGCUAUUUAUAGAGAUCGAGUGCUUCUAGGAGCUCGAUGUGACGUUUUAGUUAGCAACGUGAUUCUUAUGGCCGGAUCAAUCGAUUGGCUUCUCCAAGAGUGAAAUGGGGAAGAUAUUAAACUGGUCAAAUAUUGUCCUUCUCACUUUUUAGUAAUUACUUCUAAGCUUCUCCAAUAGAAUGUGCCCUCAAAACAGUUUCAGAAAUCAAAUAUUAAUUAUGCUUUUGUUUCAAGAUGUCCUCAGCUUGAAAUCAACAUAAUUCACGCAAGAUAUUAUUCACCAUUACAAUUGGUGGUGAUUUUUCCAAUAAAAGAAAAAAUAGAUAGCAAAAGUAGUCCAUUGUCCAUUAGACCAGUUCGUUCUCCUUUUACUAAAGUUCAGUGUUUUGAAAACCGGACCGGACGAACCAUAAUUCGCUCUUUUAACCAGUUUUAAGUUGUACUAAAAACUGGAUCUGAGUUAAACCAGAAAAUUUGGUAAAACCGGUGAUCCGGUUUAAUAUUAAAACUCGGUUUUCUCAAUUUAAGUUAAAAAUAUUUAAAAAUUGCAAUUUUUAAGAAUAUUUCACUAAAAAGAUAUUUUUAUUUUUAAAUAAAUUAGUUUUCAUUAUAUUUUUAUACUAUAUUUUAAGUUUUCAUUUUAUUUAUGUAUCAAUUUUAGUUAGAUUCUAGUAAUGAUAUAAAAUUUUAUAAAAAUAAUUUUAUAACUAUACAUAUAUAUUACAAUGCCGAGUAAAUGUCUCAUCCGGUUUUUAAAACAUUGCUAAAGUUUGUAAAAACAAAUUUCCCGUUUUGUUUCUUUUUUAUAUGGUUAAAGAAUCAUUAACAAAGAAGCACCUGGUGAAAGAAAUGUUAUCUCAAAUAAAUAUAAAUUGCUUAAAAAUGUAUCAAAAAUGUGAAGUUCUUGAGGAAUAUAAUUUCUGGCUAUAUUUUCUGAAGAUACGUACUAAGACUUUUGGAGGUUGACAUGGGUGUUACAUGAUAGUAAUUGAUGUUUGUGUCACACCAGUAGUAAGACAGUCGACCAGCUUGCAAAGAUGAUCGACAAAACUGUUCGGAAUCGUACUUCUACCAAAUACUCCACCAACCCAAGGUUACAUGGAUUGAUGAAUAGAUGGUUUGCGGCUCAUGUUUAAUACUCUAGCCGUUCCAUUAAAAUUCAGUGUUUAAACUCCUUAUAGCUGUAUAUAUAUAUUCUUUUGUGAUCAAUAAAUUUAAAAUUUUAUAAAAAAAAAAUUUGAUGUUUGUGUCUGCCUCGUCUGUUACAUUCUUGGUUUCUAUGUCUCUGUGUUUAGGAUAGUGAGUUGUAUGGGGUCGAACAUGACUCAAUCUGAUAUGGUAAAUUAGACCAACCGUGAAAGGGUAAUUCACGAAUUGACUGAUUCAUAUGAAACCAAGCCACUUUAAUUUUAUUUACCUAACGAAACUCCGCAUUAAUUGUUUUAAAAAAAAAUUAACCAACAAAAAUCCUUUUUACAUCUAAAGUUUUUUUUUUGUGAAAAAGGGCUUUUUACAACUAAAGUUGCUUGUGUUUGAGAUUUUUGAAUAUCUAAAAGAGAACUAUGUUGACAUGGCCUUCCGAGUUCCGAUGGACUGAGUCCUCGCUUGUUGUCAUGCUUGAGAUACGGUUUUUGACUUGGUUAUUGAUGAGUUUAACGAGACUUGCUGCUGAUUUGUGCAAUUCUCCAAAUUUUCUCCCAUUUCAUUCCUUCCAAAUGGUAUAUAAGGAGGCUUUAAAACAUAUCAGAGAAGAAACAACUCUACCUUGCUUCUCUGAUGAUUGGUACGGAGCAGCACUAUAUCUUCCCAUUGAUGAGUGUACUCGGUAGACAGUAGCUUAUAGGUGAGGCUUUUCCAACCUUCUGCAGAGUAUCGGCAUUGGUAGAAUAAAUGGUUUUGCAUGUUUUCUGGGUGAUUCAUACAUAAGUGGCACUGCACAGAGAUGAAGCAACACCACUCCACUGUGAUAUGCGGUCUCCAGUGGGAAGCAUGUUUGGAAUAGCAACCCAUACAGUAAAAGAGUACUUUGGAAUGUUGUGUUGGAACCAAACUCCGUAUUAAUUGUUAAUGUUGGUUACACUCAGUUUUCAUGUGAGGGUCCUGACGGGAGAUAAUAUGACUAUGAUAUUCAAAAAGAAAUGAUAAUCUGAAAAGACUUGAUACAUAUUUAAUAACUUUGAUCAUGAGAGUCUGGUGAAAAGGGGGAAAUAUGUAUAAACUAUUCAGUUUUUCUUGAUACCUGUAUUUUUUACAAAAUUAAUAAUUAUUCUACACAUAACCUGCACUGUAAUAAUAAAUUUAUUCUAUUGAAAUGUUAUAACUGCUUAGGUUAUAGAAAAAAAGAACGUGGUUAAAGUUAGUAUAUAAUUAGAAGUAGUUAUGAAAUAAUCAGUUUUUUUUUUAAAGUAACUCCAAAAUGGCAAAAUAAGUAAGGCCAUGUUUAUUACAUUCCCUUAGACAAGUAUUUUACUAUAAUUAAGAAUUAGGAAAAAAGAAAAAAAAAACAGCUUUUAGCUAAGAGAUGGUAAGAAAUGUCCCUUAAAUAAGACACAUAAGAGCAUCCGCAAUGGUGAUCCCCAAUUAGGAGAUCUUAGAAAUAAAAAAUAAUAAUUUUUUUUUAAAUUGAAAUUGAAAUUUUAUUAAUUGCAUGAUUAAAAAUAAAUAUACCAGAAAAUAGAAGUUUAAAAAUGUAUAAGUUUAAAAAUUCAAUUUCAAUUUAAAAAAAAAAAAUUUUAAGCUAAAAAUUUUCUAUUAGUUUUUUUUAUCUUAUGUAUAAGUUUAUCUUCUUAAAACUAUAGGUUUCAUUUAAUAUAAGUGUGAUAGAGUUUAAAAAUGUCUAUGAUACAAGUUUAAAAAUGUUUACAAGUCAAAUGUUUACAAGUCAUAGCCACCACGUAGACAAGGAUUUGAUCCUUAAAUUCCUUAUGUAAGGAUCAAUCCUUGUAUUAUGUUACUCAAAUAAUAGUUUUUUAAUCUGAUAAACAUUGGAUGUGGAGCUAAGGAUCCUUAACGGACUCCCAUUGCAGAUGGUCUAAGGACAUGAUUAUCGGCGUAUUUAAGUCAAAGUCCUUAGCAAAUUAUGUUUAAAAAUAAAUAAAUAAUAAUGAAAAAGACGGAGAACGUUAGUUAGUUAAGGGAUUUUUUCACCGCGUCCUUAUUGCUACGCGUCGUGACGUGAUAUGCUUUCAGGACGGUGAGGGUUAACCCCGGUUCGCGAUGGAAAUCCCUUUCAUCUUCUUCACUUCUUCUCUCUCGACUAUCGACGGCGAAAACCACAGAUUGUUGUGGUUCUCCGACGAUUCAAGGCAAAAUCGAAGCCUUUCUCGUUGAUUUUGUCCAGUAGACACCGAUCUCCGCCGCGCCCCUUGUUCCUUUCUUCUCUCUCGACUCUUCACCGCGAUUCGAAUCGAAGCCUUUUCGUUGAUUUGGCCCAGUAGAUUCCGUCCUCCGCCGCGUCCCUUCUUCCCUGCUUCUCUCUUCCCUCUUGACGGCGAUUCAAAACGCCUCUGGUUCUCCGCCGAUUGGGAGUCUACGAAAUCUAAAGACCAAAAUAACUCCCACCAAUAAUCCAUGUUUUCUUUAAAAGUCCUUAAGAUUGUCCUUAACUACAAAUAACAUUAAAAAAAACACUAAGGACCUUCAAUCUAAAGACAUGGUUGCCCUAACGAACACCUCUUAGUGCUUUUACACUAUUUUACUUAAUUUUAUUAAUUAAAUAUUUAUUAAGAACCUAGUAAGGUCUUUCCCAAUAAUCAUACCCUUACCUUUCUUCCCACUUUUAAUUAUUAAUUUACGUAACUGCUUCUAAUUAUUAAUUUACGUCAUUGCAGAAACCCAAUAACCAACUUGCAUGCAUAAACUUUUUUUUUUUUUUUUGGUAAAAAUGUUAAAAUUCAUUACCAGAUUUUCAGUUUUUUACAGACAAACAGGGGAAACAAGAAGCAGAGUACAAAAUUAAUUCUAACAGAGACUCAUACCAACACAUAAACAAGACCUAAACUACAAGCAAAGCAACAUCACAGGAAGAAAGCAUCAAAGAUAAAGCCAUAACUUGCCGCAGAAUCGAACCCGCAGUUAACACGAGAUAUUGGACCCGGUAGAAUUGGGCGUACCCGGUGACCAAAUCUUAAAGAUCGGGAAGUCAAAAACAGCUCGCUAGGCCCACCUAAUCCACGGCCUUCAAGGACAGACCGCUACACCUGCAACCAAGGACACCGGCCGAGAGAAGAUCGAGCUUUAUUUGGAGAAGGAGCACCCAAAGCCACCACACUGCCAUCGAACCUGCACCGGAGAGACAAAGACAACAACCUCCACCCUAAGGCGGAUGUUCUCGAGACAGCCCUAGAUCAGCCCCAGAACCAUGUUGACUCCGCACGUGUUGCCACCGAAGAGCCUAGCUGCGGUUGACAAGACCAGCAACCAUUCUCGCCGCACACGCCCCCGCGACGGAGAACCCGUCGAAGACCAAACCAGCUUGGACACGAAGGCAACUCCGAGAAGCUCCUGAGAGAAAGUUGACCGGCCCAACAAGAACACCGCUAGAGACCAGACCAACAAGGGGAAGAAGCACCGCAGCUCCACCGUCAGAAGGGCUCCAAAACGCCUUCAGCCAAGCCAACUCACUCACCCAUCCGAGAAGACCGAGUAGAGAGGCAAGAGAUACAAGAAAAAUCCUGCAUCGAAAGCUCAGAUCUGACACCAGAUCGAAGCCCCCGCGACUCCACUCGCUCAAAGGAACCAACACAUCCACUCUUCUACCAUGCUUCACCGGGAUUCCAAGUCCGACGCGCCAGAUCUAUUCCGCACGGAGACGCGAAAACCCAGAACCACCGAGAAAGGAAACAAAGCAGAGGAGGGAGAGGAGCGGCGAAGGGAGAAAAGAGAAAAGAGGGGUGGGCGACCGGUGACUAUAGAGAAGGAGGAGCGCCGCCGGCCACCACGGCAAAGAACGAAAUAGGGUUUUGUUUUUUGAGAGGAUUUAGAGAGAGAGGGGAGUUAGAGAGUUUAUCUUGGAUGUUCUUCUUGCAUAUAGAAAAUUAUUGUUUUUCCUGCAUACAUAAACUUCACGAUGAAGAGGUAAAAAACAUAUAUAAUUUUUUAAGCUAUUUACAAAAAAUUAUACAGAAAAAAAUAAAACAAACAAUAUAUCAAGAUCUAGUUAUAUAUAAAUAAAAUUGUGUUCUCUACUCUCUUGCUCUUGCUCUGUUUCUCUCUACUUCUGUAUGCAGAGAAGCAUUUAUUAUAUAUACCAAGGUGGUAACUACAUUAAUUAUAAAUCCUAACUACUAAAAAUUUAGAGUUCGUACAAGAUAAAAUGAAUUAAUGAUUACAUCAACAACACAUAUCAGUCGGUUAUGAUUGGCCUCUAUCUCCAUACCUCUUUUCUAUGAAAAGAGAUGAUUAUCCGAACUCGAUGUCUAGCUUCUUUUUCAGCUUCCUCAUCCAUGAGGACUGGUUUUCAACGUCACUGUAUGUGACUUUUUCUAUGCUAUCCGACUCUGUUGUGAAUGCUACUUUGACACAUUCAGCAUCUGUCUCGAAUCUGCCGUCAUCUUCGGUAGAAGUAUUUGUUUAUUUUACAUUAUUGUAGUUUAUGGUUUCAAUUAAAGAGGAUGAAUAAUUCCCUUUUAUCAUUAUAAUCAAACAUGUUGAGGUUUAAUGAAAUUAAUUGUGUUCCAAAAAAAAAAUCUAAAAUAUUACCAUCUUUCAAGAAGUAGCGGUUUCGAAAACCUUACUAUUGUAACACAGGGUCAUAGCCUGUGACUCAAACACAAGAUACCUAACUAGACAUUAACAACAAAUCGGCGUUUCAAUACAUUGGUAUGUAAAAUACAUACGCAAAAAAUGUAUUAUUAGCCGGUUAUUUAACACGCAUGCAAUCCAAAAACUCCAACAACACGCUCCACAAAUCAUGACUUAGGGAGAUUAUUAUUCAUAUAAAGGACACCAUUAUUAAGGUGUUUGACUCUCUAAAGCAAUGAGGCAGCUGCCUUGUCAAGGUACCACAUAGUUUCGACAUGGGCAGUAAGAUGAGCAGCAGGUAAGGCGAGAUUGUUGUGCUUAAAGAUAUCAGCGAUGGAGCGUGGACACUGCUCUGUGUGGUCGUCGCAAACAGCCAUAAGAUUGUACGAAGCCGAGUUAAUGACCGGUAAAGUGAAUGUGAUUCUCCUAGGUGGCAGUUUUGGAGAGUCAGUAAUGUAAGUGACCCAUUUGUCCUUGACAUUGAUCUGUGGAUGUCCUGGGAAGAGAGACGCCAUGUGGCCAUCGGGACCCAUUCCUAGAAGCUGGAGAUCGAACUGAGGAUACUUGCCAUUUGGACAUAGUGGGAUUAUGUCUUGCUUCACCAGGUUCCUCAAACACUCCUCGUAGAGCGCCGCGCAGUGCUCCGCGUUACCAUCAGCGGCAUAGUGUUUGUCGAUUGCAUAGAUGUGCUCAUUCGGAAUCCCAACCUAAAUACACCCAAAAAAAUAAAAUUGUUUUAUAUGCAUUACGGAAUAACACAUAUAAAUAUAUAUACCACUUGUUAUAUGAUAAGUGAUAACUAAUCGAAAAAAUAGUAAAACCUUGGAGAGAAAACCAUCCAUGGCGAGUUUAUAGUUGCUGUCUGGAUCUUCAUAUGCACAAACCCUCUCAUCGACCCAAAAGACGUGCCACUUUGACCAUUCGAUUGAAUCUUUGUAAGGAGGUUCCAAUAGCUUGCUGCAACAUUUGAUUAAUCAAAACAUCAUAUAUUAUUAGAUUUUCCUAUUAAAAAAAAAGAAGAAGGAGAGUGAAAUAGGGAAGAUUUGUAGACCAGAGCCAGUCGAUGAGGCCACCGCCGGAGAGAACAACAGUGAAAAGGCCUUUCUCCUUACAGAACUUGGCCGAGAGAUGGGCAGUGUACUUAGCCAUUGCUACCGACAAUUCAUCCUUGGUCUGAAACACAUGCCACUUCCUGUGCCUAGCUUCUGUCAUUGUUACCUAUAAGAAAAGUUUCUUUGUAUAUGUUGUUAAUUAAGGAUUGGGGUUUCUUGCUUUUUAUAAAGAUCUAGUGGUUAUUGGAGCUGCUUGUGACUUUUGAGUUAGGUGGAAAACGUGACUUUUUGUGGUGGAUUAUCACUGGACGUAUUGUCGUUCUCACUUUUGUUUUUUGUUUUUAUUUUCUACUAAUUACUUUUAUACGCUUCUGCUAGAGAAUAUGCUCUACAAACAGUUUGUGAAAUCAAAUGAUGGAUUAUGCUUUUUGUUUCAAAUCCUUAAAGCUGGAAAUCAACAUUGCAUUCCAGGUAAUUUCACACGAGAUACUAUUCACCAUUACAAUUUGUCACAAUUUUGUUUUUUAAAUAAUACGAAGCAGAAUCUUUAAUCUCUUUUACAGCUUACAUGUUGCAUUUUGUAUCAUAUGUCUAUAAGAAAAUAAAAGAAUGAGUUUUGUCCUCCUCAAAAUUCUCUAUCGUUCAAGUUCCCGACCGUUAUGGAAGGAGAAGUAGUUGAUAAGUCAUGGACCUGGUCAGAAGGGAUUAAUUCGAGGCCAAUCUACGAUAAAAUGAUUUUAAAGUGGCAUUGGACUUCUACCGGUGACAAACAGGAAAGAGCUCAUAGUACUUGACUACUGUCAUUUUUCAUGUGUUGGUUGGUUUAGUUUCUUCUUCCUCUUUAAUCUCGUGUCCUACUAUUUCAUAAAUGCCAUUUUUGUUUUGUCUUUUUUUUCUCUCUCUCACAUGUUUAACGAAUGUAACUUACUCUGCCAACAAAGUAGUUACAACAUAAAUUUACUUUGGAAAACGGAACUCUACUUUCUGAAUAUGUGAACUAGAUUCAAAGUUCUAACCACCAACUUCAAUUUUCUCUACUAUACUUUCUUCAUGUAAAACGUGUUCUCUACCGAACUCAGAAUUGUUGUUUACUUCGUUACACUCAGUUUUAACAUCUUACAUGAAUUGUGUUGCAGGGCAUAUGAAGUAUUUUUUUUAUUUCAUAUCUACUUUUAUUCUAUUUUGAAAAAAAAAAAAUUUGUGUUGGGUUGGAGAUGUCCUUAGGACCUUGAGCCAGUCCUGGCUGCAUAAUGUAAUAUGGGGAUGAAAAGUACACGUGAGAUAUUUUUUUUUGACGACCUACACGUGAGAUAUAUGUGUUGCACUGCAUCAUGUAAUAUGGUUCAAUCAACUGUGAAGCAACGUUUUUGUAAUAAUCGUAGUUGCCUAGUUGGUUGCUAAAUACGUUUUGUUUGGUCAAAGAAUUUCACUUAACCGCUUCGCUAUUGAUUCCUAGCAUUUCGGGAUGCACCAAACAACUUUGAGAAGUAUAAUCGAUUAUGCAAACCGAACCAAAAAAUAACACCCCUCCAAGUUCCUCCUAUAACAUAUACUAGCUUAUGGAAAUGUGGUGGAGGACGAGGAAGGAUUAGUAGCCAUUACUACUAGUUAUUUCAGACAAAUUUUCGAAUCUGCAAAUCCGGAGGAUAUAGCAGAGGCGCUGAAAAAUGUCUCCACAACGAUAACAGGGACAAUAAAUGAGGAUCUUACAGCUCCAGUUACUGAAUGAGAAGUUAAAUUAGCGCUCUUUGCCAUGCACCCAGAGAAAGCACCAGGGCCAGAUGGGAUGACAGCUAUGUUCUAUCAGCAGUUUUGGGACAUUGUCAAAGAGGAUUUAACCCGUAUGGUUAAUCAAUUUCUUUUUGACGGAACAAUGGCCCAGGGGCUAAAUGAUACCAAUAUCUGCCUAAUUCCUAAAACGGAGAAGCCCAAUGAGAUGUCUAAGUUCAGACCGAUCAGCCUGUGCAAUGUCAGCUAUAAGAUUAUAUCUAAGGUCUUAUGCCAAAGAUUAAAGAAGGUUCUUCCCCAAAGAAUAUCUGAAACCCAGUCAGCCUUUGUUGCGGGUAGACAGAUAACUGACAAUAUAAUGAUAGCUCAGGAGAUGUUCCAUGCGCUUAGGACUAAGCCAGCUGGGAGAGUCAAGAGAAUGGCCAUCAAAACAGAUAUGAGUAAAGCAUAUGAUAGAAUGGAAUGGUCUUUCAUCGAGGCGGUUAUGCGGAAGAUGGGUUUCUCAGAGAUUUGGAUUAGCUGGAUUAUGCGAUGCAUUACCUCGGUUAAGUAUAAAGUCCUGAUGAAUGGGGAACCUAGGGGAAAUAUUGUUCCAGGGAGAGGUUUACGUCAAGGAGAUCCUUUGUCUCCUUUCAUAUUUAUUCUAUGCACGGAAGCGCUCGUUGGCCUUCUUAAUCAAGCAGAGAGUCAAGGGAAGAUAACGGGGAUGCGCGUUGCACGCGCUAGCCCCUCGGUAUCACACCUUCUCUUUGCUGAUGAUAGCCUUUUCUUCUGUAAGGCGAAGCCCCGUGAAUGUGAAGAAGUUAUGAAAGUAGUCAGGAAGUAUGGAAAAGCAUCAGGUCAAUGCAUUAAUUUUGAGAAGUCCUCAUUACUCUUUGGUAAGAGGGUCGCAGUGAAUGAUAGACAACAAAUCAAAGACACUCUCGGGAUUCAGAAUGAAGGGGGAAUGGGAAAGUAUCUGGGAAUACCAGAAGAUAUUAGCGGAUCCAAGUGCAAGCUUUUCGCUUUCCUAAAAGAAAAACUUUCACAUCGAGUGAACGGUUGGACAGGCAGGUGGCUAUCGAAAGGAGGAAAGGAAGUUCUGAUCAAAUCUAUCCUCUUAGCUCUUCCCACAUACGUAAUGUCAAGUUUCUUACUCCCUUUGGAGAUUUGUGAGAACCUUGCAAGUGCCAUUGCACAGUUUUGGUGGAGUUCAAACCCGCCAAAAAGAGGGAUUCACUGGGCUAAAUGCGAAAAGAUGUGUGCUCCUAGAGAGGAGGGUGGAGUGGGUUUCCGCAUGAUCCAUGAAUUUAAUCUAGCACUGCUAGCGAAACAACUCUGGCGCCUUGUUCCGUACCCCGAUUCAUUAGUAGCAAGAGUCCUCAAAGGGAAAUAUUACCGCCUCAGUUCGCCUUUGCGAAUCGCGGCGGUGGAUAACCCAUCCUACGUGUGGACGAGUAUAUCAGCAGCGAAGAAGCUUUUGCUUUUGGGUAUUAGGAGUAAAGUGCACUCAGGAUACGAAAUCAAUGUCUGGCAGGAUCCGUGGAUUCCUUCGACGCCAGCUAGGCCGGCCCGCCCUAGGGUACCAGUCGUAAAUCCAAAGAUGCUUGUAAGUAGUCUUAUAAGUUCGGAAUCAAAGGAAUGGGAUGCUAGGAUACUGGCACAGUAUGUUGAGCAAGAGGAUAUACAGCUGAUUAUGAGUUUGGCCAUAAGCCCAACACAUCGCAGAGAUUCUUUCUGCUGGAGCUACACUAAAAACGGCCAAUACACGGUUAAGUCUGGAUAUUGGGUUGCUACAAAUAUAUUGGAUGCGGAGGAGGAAGCUGAAGUCAAACAACCUAGCAUCGCUGAACUUCAAGCCUUUGCUUGGAAAGUGAACGCACCUCAGAAAAUUCGUCAUCUUAUAUGGCAAUUAAUUUCGGGACAGGUAGCAGUAACAAGGAACUUAAUACGUCGUAAUCUGCGGUGUGAUGAUUACUGCCCAAGAUGUGGAGAGCCGAGAAAAAUGUAACCCAUGCGAUCUUUGAAUGUCCCCCAGCGUUACAAGUAUGGGAGCUAUCAUCUACGCCGUCAAACCACCAAACUUUCCCCAUAUCGAGUAUGUAUGCCAAUAUGGACUACCUUUUCUGGAGGAAAAAUACAAUUAGAAGGCCAGAAGAUGAUAGAGACCCUUAUCCCUGGAUAAUCUGGUACAUCUGGAAGGCGAGGAAUGAUAAGCUAUUCAGGGGGAUUGACAGGGACUCUCUGGAACUGGUCAGGUAUGCAGAGAGUGAAUGUCAGGCUUGGUAUAAUGCUAAGGAGUCUAUACCUAAUCCCCCUCAGGCACCAAACACUGAAGUGAUACAAGCCUUAAGCUUGAAUAAUAUGUGCAUGGUGGAUGGCUCUUGGACAUCCACAGAUCUAUUCAGUGGAAUUGGUUGGGUAUGGAAAGAUAAUACGGGAAAGAUCCAACUUAUGGGAACACGGAAUUUGAGGAGGCGGGAGACAGCACUACACUCGGAAUUGGAAGCAUUAAAAUGGGCAUUCGAAAGCAUGCUUCAACAUUCAAACUGCCAACACUUUGGUACAGAUUGCAAGGACCUGAUAGCUAUGAUAAACGAACCUCAAGCCUGGCCAAAGUUUUCAACGGAGCUGGAAGCCAUUCAAAUCAUCCUCAUGUGUUAUUCGGACUUCAAGAUCACCUACGUGCCAAGAACACAGAAUGAAAUUGCUGAUUCUUUAUCUAGGAAUGCUCGAUCUUUUCAUAGAUCUCUUUGUUUUAUUGGUUGUUCUAUUCCGGUCUGGCUACCCAGACCACCUCAUGUUUGAGUAAUAGAAUAGCCGUUUGUUGACAAAAAAAAAACAUAUACUAGCUUAAUUUUGAUUUAGGUGAUGAUUGUUUCAGUUUUUAGUUUUAGUUUUUGGUUUUAAGAUUUUGGUUUUUAGUUUGGUUUUCAACUUUUGGUUUUUGGUUUAAAUUAGUAAAUUAUAUUAACAUUUUAAGCUGCCACGUAAGUUAUAUUGACAUCUUAAUUUUUAAGCUGUCACGUAAUUUAUAUUGACAUCUUAAUUAAAUGAUACAUACGCAUGAUCUUUUUUUUUAAUUAGUACAAACUUAAAGUUACAAUUUUUUAAAUGUUCCUCAAUUAAUAUAUAGGGGAUUCCCUAGCCAUUUAAUUUAGAUUAACAAAAUUCUCAAUUGAUUUUCAAGUCAUCACGUAAACAAAUUAACAUUCCAAUUACAUGAUGAUAUAUAUGGACCAACAUAUUUUUCUAAAGAUUCUAAGAAUGGUUGUGGUGAUGAAAUGUAGAUACAAAAAUAUGUUAUAAUAUUUCUCUUUUAAUACAUAGAGGAUAUACAAAAUGAAUGACAUGUGUCUUUGUACAAGGUGUUCAAAAAAAAAGUAUCUUUAUACAAAAAUUUAUUAUAAACGACCAUGCAUUUUAUGUAACUAAAAGUUUCAUAUGUUUCAUAAACUUCUGAAAGUUGUAAUUCAUGUGUCUCUAUUCUUUUCAUUUACUACAAAUCGUGUAAAAUAUGUUUUCUUAUAUACAAAUAAAAAUCUCUCAUGGAUAUGGUCAUAUCUGAUAUGACCAUACUCGACCAUUCAUCUCAUUUACUAACAGGGUGAUGACUUUUAAAUAAAUUUCCUCCAGUCAUUUUUCAUGUGUCAAGAACUUUUUUUUCUAAAUGUCAUGAACUAUUUGUUAAAUCGUAUUAGCCUUAUUUGAAUUUCUGCUCUAUUUUUAUUAUAGGAUUGCAUCUUUAUAUAUUAAAACACAUAUGGCAUUUGGAGAAGAUGAAGAUGGGUGUGUUCAAAAUAUCACCUAAAAUAUUAGUCGUUUGUUAAAAAAAAAUCAUAAUAUUAUAGUGAUUGUAACAAUAUUUGGAAAACAUUUUGAAAAAAAAACUAUCAAGGAAAAUCUAUUCCAAUAUUAAGCAAUAUUAUUCAAAAAAAGAUUAAGGAUUAUACCCGCAACAAUAUUGGUUGCACAUUUAAAACAUCAUAAUAUUGUAAUCCUAUAAUUUAGUGAUUGUAAUCAUUAUUGGAAACAAAGUAAUGGAAUAUACGGGAUAUCUAUUCUAAUAUAAAUAAGUAUCAUUCAUCAUAUAUCAUUGUUUUGUCUCUGAUCUUAUAAUUCACAAUCACGUAAUUGUAAGGAAACAAUUGAUUUGUUGAAUCAUAUGACCUUCUUCUUUGAUUCGCCCUUAAAUAUAUCGAGCAUCUAUAAGCUUGAUCUUCACUGAGUUUCAACAUCGUAUGAGUCGAUUAAUCUACCCCUUAUUAUUGUGUUUCAUUUUCAUAACCUGAUGUCUCAAGCAACAUGCACCAAUCUUAAGAACUGAUUCACCGAUUGAAUUUGAUGAGUUAGAGGAGCACAGUUUUGGCUUUAACAGAAAAAAAUCUAGAGUUGACCUGAUUUACCUUUGCUCAAAAGUAACUUUAUGGAUUAACUAAUUAAACUCAAAAGCUAACUAUAUGAAACCCAAUAUAUAUUUUCUAGAUAGACCUUUUUAUUUUAACAAAAUUAUGUUCACGAUAUUUUUUUUCUUUGUAAACACAAUAUGUUUCAAAUAUAGCCCAAAAUUAUUUUUGUCUUUUAUUAUUUCUGAAUUUUAAUUAAAAUGUUACAAAAUGUUAGAACUAAAAGAAUAUAAAAUAAUGAUGUCUCUGUAUAAAACUGAAACAUAACCAAUACAAAGCUAUGAAUUUUGUUUUUAAUUUUAAUAGAUGUAUUAAUUUACACAAACAAUCCAAAUUGUAUGCUUUAUAAAAAAAAUACACUUGAAAAAUGGUAAAUUUGUAAAACAAAUGCCAAAUACCAAAUGAUUUAUCUAACAUACAACUUUAGUUAUUUGAACAUAAAUAACUCGUAUCAACAAAUACAAAAAUAAACAUUUAAAAUACAUGAAACAACCAUAAUUUUGAAACAUAAAAAAUAAAAGAACACCACGCGGUUGCGCAGCUCUAGUUAAAGCUUCUUUAGUUACACUCAAAAGGGUUUAUAUUUUGUAGUUUGUUUAUUUAAUUCGGGAUUUAUAUUUCGUACAUUAGGAAACUUUUUUUUUGCAAAAGAUUAGGAAACUAUUUAGUAAUUGUUUUCUUCAUUUCAUUUUCCCAGAGGACUUUGAUUUUAGGUUUUUAUAAUAGAGAUGCAGCUUGGUUGUAAGACUCAUCUAAGCUAGAUAACUUGAAGGGUUUAGCUGUAUUAAAUCAGUGAUCAGCAUACUGGAUAUAUGUUCACAAAUCAAAGACAAUGCUAUAGCUAUAGCUUUAUCUAUCUUAUUAAAACUCAAGUACAAAAUUGGAGUGUUUGGAGACUUGAAUAGGACUUUUAAAAAUUUGGAGUGUUUGGAAACAUGGAUUGCAGUCUUUAAAAAAAAAAAUAUUUUUGUUUGAAAACAAGGAUAGUAGUAUUAAGAAAAAAAGUAAUGGGCUUAUGUUUUUUUAAAAAAUUGAAAGUUAUCUAGGCCACUUUUAAAAUAUACCAAAAUGGGUCAAUCUAAUUCCCUAAAAUUUUUUUUUCUAAACUAACCAUAAAACAAAAUUUAAACUUUAUAUACAUAUUUCAAAUCAAAAUAAUAAUUCAAAUUUGAUUUAUAUCAAAAAUUGAUUCAAAAAUAUACAUAUAUUCAAAAAUGGAUUUUUACUAAACUAUUUUUCAAUAACCAUUAUAAAAAAAUAUUGUCAAUAUAUAUAAGAAAAAUAUAAUACAAAGCCCAAUUUGAAAUACCAACUCAAAUUAUGGUUUUCAUAUUUCAUAUUAAGUUUUAAAAAUAUAAUAUAUGUAAUUAUUUAUAUGAUGGUAUGUAUAAAAUACUAUUAAUUAUAUGAUUACUUAUAUGGUGGUACAUAUAAAAUACGAUUAAUUAUAUGAUGAUAAAAUACGAUAUAUAAUAAUGACUAGGGAUGGGCUUUUGGAUACCCAUACGGGUUUAGUUCUGAUCGGUUUGUAUUUUGGGUUUUCGGGGUCAAAGAUUUCAGCCUUAUUAGAAUGUUUCUAAAUUUUGGUUUGAGUUCGAUUUGGAUCUUUGCGGGUUUUGUUUGGGUUUGGAUAACUAAUUUAAAUUAUUUUUAAAGUCUUAAAUCCUUAUAUAUUUUAAAUUUCUCAAAAUGUAUAAAUAAAAUAAUAUAUUACGUAUAAAUUUGAAUAACAUAUGUCAUAAUACUUAAGCUUAACAUAUCAAUUGGCUUGAUUUAAAAUUUUGGAUACGAAAUCAAUAAUUAUUUUAAGUAUUUUUGGUGAUUUGAGUAUACUUUAACUAUUUCAGAUAUUUACUUUUGACUAUCUAUAUAUAUUUUCAAGUAUUUAAACCAAUUUAAAAGUAUCAUUUUUGAUGUUUUAUAUACGUUAAAUCUAAAAAUAAUUAAUAUAUAUAAGUAUAUAAAUCUAUUUUUAGAUAAAUUCGGAUACCCAAAUACUUCGGUUCGGAUCAGAUUCGGUUCUCUAAAUAACAAAAUUUUGAAUAAUUAGAAUAUUUAAUCAAUUUAUGUUUGGGUUUGGUACUAUAUCUUUGGAUCGGUAUCGGUUAUGUUCCUCGGAUUCAUUUUUCCAAAUCCUAAUAAUUACAUGAAAAAUAAAUAUCAACAUAUUUUUCAAAAUAUAUACCCGCGCGCCUGCGCGGGUCAAAAUCUAGUUUAUUAUUAUUAUAGCACAACAUCACAGACUCAAACAAGUUACACAACUAGAGAGAAACAACAAAUCGGCGUUUCGAUAGAUUUGGUACAUAACAUAUGUACGCAAAAUGCAUUAUUAUUAGCCGGUUAUUCAACACAAAUGCAUGCAAACAGCAACAGCUCGAUCGGUCCACAAAGCAGCAAAGAGAGAUUAUUAUUCAUAUAAAGGACACCAAUAUGAAGGUGUUUGACUCUCUAAAGCUUCGAGGCAGCUGCUUGGUCGAGGUACCACAUUUCUUCGACUUGAGCAGUAAGAUUAGCAGCAGGUAAGGCGAGAUUGUUGUUCUUAAAGAUCUCAGCAAUGGAACGUGGACAUUGCUCUGUGUGGUCGUCGCAAACGGCCAUG